rnacentral:rRNA from 1 species
UACCAGCUCUUCGAGUGGUGUGGAUGUUUAUUGGGCCUAAAGCAUCCGUAGCUGGCUGGGCAAGUCCCCUGUUAAAUCCACCGAUUUAAUCGUUGGAGUGCGGGGGAUACUGUUCGGCUAGGGGACGGGAGAGGCAGACGGUAUUUUCGGGGUAGGGGUGAAAUCCUAUAAUCCCGGGAAGACCACCAGUGGCGAAGGCUGUCUGCUAGAACGCGCCCGACGGUGAGGGAUGAAAGCUGGGGGAGCGAACCGGAUUAGAUACCCGGGUAGUCCCAGCUGUAAACGAUGCAGGCUAGGUGUUUGGGCGGCCACGUGCCGCUCUAGUGCCGCAGAGAAGCCGUUAAGCCUGCCGCCUGGGGAGUACGGCCGCAAGGCUGAAACUUAAAGGAAUUGGCGGGGAGCACCAAAAAAGGUGAAGCUUGCGGUUU